AUACCUCUCAGCUUUUGGAGUGAUAGUUAUUGCGCGUGUACAGUGUAAUCUCGCGGACCCUUGGAGACCCUGGUAUAUUAUAACCUCUGGCUUGCGAGACUAUGUACAGUGUAUGUUAUAAUUUUGGCGGGUAAUUAUUUUUCAAGGGUAGACUCUAUAAUGAACAGGCACUUUUUGCGGUUGAUAUUUUCGCGGGUUGGUGCAAUUUAUGAAAUGCACAUUGACAAAACAUAAUUAUUAGCACUCGAAGAUUAUACCCGCCAUAUACAUGUACCAUAUAGGUAGAUAUGCAUGUAUGUGUGUGUGUGUGUGUGUGUGUGUGUGUGUCCACAAAGUUCCUUACACACUGCAAAAACACUUUUGUUAUUGUGACACAGUUUGCUACCGGCACAAAAUGUUAUCUUGACAAAACGUUUGUCAAUUUCCUGCAAUUAUUGUUAUGACGACAAAUCAUAGUUUAUUUAACUAUUAAUAUAGUUUAUCUAACUAUUAAUAUUUGUUAUUAUAAUGGUAGAUUGUUAUUUGAACACAUGUGUUGUCAUUUUGUCGAAGCGUUGUUGAUCUCACAUUUAGUGGAAGUUACCGUUCAUUGUCAAAUUAACAUUAAUGUGUGACAAUAACAAAUUAUAAAGUUACAGCUAGAACUCUACUAAAAGCCGAUACGUGCAAGUUUGCAUCACUGAUUUCAACCUACUCAACCUAUACUCGAUUAUACCCUAGGUCGUAAUAAAUUGUCUACACUGAAACAUCUCAGUUGCCCUGAUGCUUAUAUCUUUGCAUGCUCAUGUUCAGUUGUGUAUGUAGCAAUUGGAGACUUGUGACUGGGCAUGGUAAGUUACAGUGGCAGUGAAGAAGUCAGGAGCCUCCAGAGUCCUUCAGUGCAGUGCAGUGCAGGCAGCCUUCUCUCUAUAGCCUCCUUCACAAGGCCUGGCCUGAAGAGCGGCCUGGGAUCGAGCUUCUCUCUAGCCUCUAACUCUAGCUAGUCUCGAGGCCAGGAGAGUUUGGCCUCGAGACUAUAAUUAUAAGCUGGAACUAUAGGUGUGGCAUGAGGGGGCGUUCAGGAAUAACAGGGCGAGGCCUCAAACAUACUUAGCACAUGGUGCUUGCAGCUGCCAGACUGCAGCUGCUCAUGCAGCUUUAUACCAUCACUGACUGCAUGCCUGUACCCCUGGUCCUGGGCUACCAUGUUCCAUGUACACCAGCUAGGAUCUAGGAGUCAAGAGUCACCUGCAUCUGCAGCUUGAAAGAAAAGACAAUUGCAAAUUUUCUUAAAGAGUAGAUAGUACCACCAUCUCAAAGAAAAAAGUUAAGUUCCAUUGCAUGCUGUUGGCGCAUGGCAUGUACAUGAUCCCAAAACUCUCUGAAUUCACAGUUUACAAAUCACUGCUAUACCGUAUCGGCGUAUAACUCCACCAUGUACCAGCUUCAAAGAAAAAGGAUUUAAGUUAUGUUGCUCAUUGCUAAAUAAAUGUGUUUACGUGUUUCUUCCAGCUGCAGAUUUUACCGUACCUCGGCCCCACAAUGUGUACCAGCUAGGAGUCUACUUAACCACCUUCAUCGACUUCAAAGAAACGACUUGCAAGUUAUGUCAGAUUCCAUAAAACUAUAUAGCUAGCUAGAGGGCAACUGUCCCUGGCCUGGUUUCGACUUUCAUCUGUAGCAUACUGAUUUACGAGUUUGUGUCUUCAUGCACUGGUUUCGACUGGUCAACUUCGUCCAUGGGGUGAUAGCUAGUAUACUGAUUUAUGAGUUUGUGUGUAUGUGUCCUCAUGUGUCAGUUACACUGGUUUCGACUGGUCAACUUCGUCCAUGGGGUGAUAGCUAGCAUACUGAUUUACGAGUUUGUGUGUAUGUGUCCUCACGUGUCAGUUACACUGGGGGUGAUAGCUAGCAUUGUAAUUUACCAGUUUGUGUGUAUGUGUCCUCACGUGUCAGUUACACUGGUUUCGACUGGUCAACUUCGUCCAUGGGGUGAUAGCUAGCAUUGUAAUUUACCAGUUUGUGUGUAUGUGUCCUCAUGCGUCAGUUACACUGGUUUUGACUGGUCAACUUCGUCCAUGGGGUGAUAGCUAGCAUUGUAAUUUACCAGUUUGUGUGUAUGUGUCCUCAUGUGUCAGUUACACUGGUUUUGACUGGUCAACUUCGUCCAUGGGGUGAUAGCUAGCAUUGUAAUUUACCAGUUUGUGUGUAUGUGUCCUCACGUGUCAGUUACACUGGUUUUGACUGGUCAACUUCGUCCAUGGGGUGAUAGCUAGCAUUGUAAUUUACCAGUUUGUGUGUAUGUGUCCUCAUGCGUCAGUUACACUGGUUUCGACUGGUCAACUUCGUCCAUGGGGUGAUAGCUAGCAUACUGAUUUACGAGUUUGUGUGUAUGUGUCCUCACGUGUCAGUUACACUGGUUUCGACUUCGUCCAUGGGGUGAUAGCUAGCAUACUGAUUUACGAGUUUGUGUGUAUGUGUCCUCAUGUGUCAGUUACACUGGUUUCGACUGGUCAACUUCGUCCAUGGGGUGAUAGCUAGCAUACUGAUUUACGAGUUUGUGUGUAUGUGUCCUCAUGUGUCAGUUACACUGGUUUCGACUGGUCAACUUCGUCCAUGGGGUGAUAGCUAGCAUACUGAUUUACGAGUUUGUGUGUAUGUGUCCUCAUGCGUCAGUUACACUGGUUUCGACUGGUCAACUUCGUCCAUGGGGUGAUAGCUAUAGCAUACUGAUUUACGAGUUUGUGUGUAUAUGUGUCCUCACGUGUCAGUUACACUGGUCAACUUCGUCCAUGGGGGUGAUAGCUUAUACUAUUUACAUUUUGCACUACAUAUGUGUUGGUAACUAUAGUGACUUCAAUCUUUUGUUCUGUAGGGGCGAAAAUGAUCUGAGGGAUGUAGCGUUCAUGAAACCAAACGAAACGCCUGCAGUUCACUGUACUGGAAUUUCAAGAAAUGCUAAGUGAUGAACACUAAAAACAAUUUACUGACAGAAGAAAUUAUUGUGCUGCAUGUCAUGUGAUCCAGUGAUCUUAUUCUAUCAUAAACUCAUUGUUCUAAUACCGUUUGA